rnacentral:lncRNA from 1 species
GCAGUGUCAGGGAAAAGCUAAAAAGUUAGAAACUAGUCAUACAUUCGCGAAUGUUCUUUUUACUUGGAAAAUCAGGGAUCUUUCCCUGGUUCAUUCAAAUUAACAUAGCAGCAGUAACCACUGAACUUCCUCAAAUACAGGAACGCAUUGGCCAAGCAUCGAUGGACAAACUGACACGUCAAUGGCCGCCCGAUCACAUGUGGAUGGCCUGAUAUUUCUAUGGCGUCUUCUUCAGGAAUUCCAAGGAGGCAUAUCCACCAUGGCCUACUAUAUAUGCUUUUCUAUGUUGCAAACUAAUUUCAGUUUCACAUAAAUUUGCGUCUACAAUUGGCAUGAUCUUCCUCUGGGUUCAUUAAGUUAGGCACUUCGAACUGUG